rnacentral:rRNA from 1 species
UACAGAGGUCUCAAGCGUUGUUCGGAUUCAUUGGGCGUAAAGAGCGUGUAGGCGGCCGCACAGGUCCGUUGUGAAAACUGGAGGCUUAACCUCCAGACGUCGAUGGAAACCGUGCGGCUAGAGUCCGGAAGAGGAGAGUGGAAUUCCUGGUGUAGCGGUGAAAUGCGCAGAUAUCAGGAAGAACACCCGUGGCGAAGGCGGCUCUCUGGGACGGUACUGACGCUGAGACGCGAAAGCGUGGGGAGCGAACAGG